rnacentral:rRNA from 1 species
ACGAUGAGCCCUUCGGGGUGGAUUAGUGGCGAACGGGUGAGUAACACGUGGGCAAUCUGCCCUUCACUCUGGGACAAGCCCUGGAAACGGGGUCUAAUACCGGAUAACACUCUGUCCCGCAUGGGACGGGGUUGAAAGCUCCGGCGGUGAAGGAUGAGCCCGCGGCCUAUCAGCUUGUUGGUGGGGUAAUGGCCUACCAAGGCGACGACGGGUAGCCGGCCUGAGAGGGCGACCGGCCACACUGGGACUGAGACACGGCCCAGACUCCUACGGGAGGCAGCAGUGGGGAAUAUUGCACAAUGGGCGAAAGCCUGAUGCAGCGACGCCGCGUGAGGGAUGACGGCCUUCGGGUUGUAAACCUCUUUCAGCAGGGAAGAAGCGAAAGUGACGGUACCUGCAGAAGAAGCGCCGGCUAACUACGUGCCAGCAGCCGCGGUAAUACGUAGGGCGCAAGCGUUGUCCGGAAUUAUUGGGCGUAAAGAGCUCGUAGGCGGCUUGUCACGUCGGAUGUGAAAGCCCGGGGCUUAACCCCGGGUCUGCAUUCGAUACGGGCUAGCUAGAGUGUGGUAGGGGAGAUCGGAAUUCCUGGUGUAGCGGUGAAAUGCGCAGAUAUCAGGAGGAACACCGGUGGCGAAGGCGGAUCUCUGGGCCAUUACUGACGCUGAGGAGCGAAAGCGUGGGGAGCGAACAGGAUUAGAUACCCUGGUAGUCCACGCCGUAAACGUUGGGAACUAGGUGUUGGCGACAUUCCACGUCAUCGGUGCCGCAGCUAACGCAU